rnacentral:tRNA from 2 species
GCCCAGAUAGCUCAGUUGGUAGAGCAGCGGACUGAAAAUCCGCGUGUCGGUGGUUCAAAUCCACCUCUGGGCACCA